CUUAUUGUAUAAUACACAACUGUGUAUACAUACAGACCUAUUAUUAUUAUUAUUUUGAAACUCCAAGCAUGAUGAUGUGACAAACACAAUCAUUUAGUGCACCCCACUUUUGUAAUUAUUGACAUGAUUGGGGUCAAUAUUUUUGUUGACAACAUUAAUAUAAUUUGGUAUUUAAAAAAGAUGAGUAACUUAUAAAUUUCAUAUAUAUUAAGAAAAAAAAUAAAUUUUUAAUUUUUUU
rnacentral:lncRNA from 1 species